rnacentral:rRNA from 1 species
CCCUUAGAUGUCCUGGGCCGCACGCGCGCUACACUGAUGCAUUCAACGAGUUUCUUCCUGGUCCGAGAGGAAUGGGUAACCUUUUGAAAGUGCAUCGUGAUAGGGAUAGACUAUUGCAAUUAUUGGUCUUCAACGAGGAAUUCCUAGUAGACGUAGUUCAUCAGACUGCAUCGAUUACGUCCCUGCCCUUUGUACACACCGCCCGUCGCUCCUACCGAUUGAAUGCUCAGGUGAGCCAUUCGGACUUUCACCAUGCUGGUUUCCAGUUUUGAUGAAGGAAAGUCUUGCGAACCUUAUCAUUUAGAGGAAGGAGAAGUCGUAACA